GAAGGCUGCAUAUGAUGUCUAUGGAAGGCUGCGUUUGAAGGCCGAUUGCAAUUCGAACGCGACUCAAAAUGCGCCCUCCGUUUCUCAGGCAAAUGAAGGAUACAUCAGAUGGAUCCUUCGCAGUCCAUCCUAUCCCAGAAUUCAUAGCGCAGCGGUGGCGACGGAACUUUUAUUCAAACAAAACAGCGGGUGAUGGUUCUGUGGCGGCCGAUGAAUACACUUAGAAAUGACAGUUCUGGAGAAAAUGCUGAGCAGUGAGACCCUGGUGCUGCUGCUGGACCUGGACGGGCUGCCAGAGAGAGUACUUUCAGUAGCUACUAUUAGUGCAUUGAGGAAAAAAUGUAUGCAUUGAAAACCUGAAGUGUUAUCCUUCAUACUGUAAUGUACUUAAGGUGUGAAGCGUAAAAGUAGCCUAUGUAUUCUGCAGAAAAAAC
ensembl:lncRNA